rnacentral:rRNA from 1 species
CCUACGGGUGGCUGCAGUAGGGAAUAUUUCACAAUGGGCGAAAGCCUGACGGAGCACCGCCGCGUGCAGGAUGAAGGUCUUCGGGUUGUAAACUGUUGUCAUAAGCGAGGAAAAUGACGGUACCUUACGAAUAAGCAACGGCUAACUACGUGCCAGCAGCCGCGGUAAUACGUAGGUUCCGAGCAUUAUCCGGAUUUACUGGGUGUAAAGAGUUGGGUAGGGGGCAUACAAAAGAGCUAUGAAAAUGUGGUGGCACAACCAUUCAGACUAUUUGCGAAACUGUUAAGCUAGAGCGCGUUAGGGGUAACUGGAAUUUCUAGUGUAGGAGUGAAAUCCGUAGAUAUUAGGAGGAACACCAGUGGCGAAGGCGGGUUGCUGGAACGGUACUGACGCUAAGGCGCGAAAGCGUAGGGAGCAAACAGGAUUAGAUACCCUUGUAGUC